rnacentral:rRNA from 1 species
UACAGAGGGUGCGAGCGUUGUCCGGAAUCACUGGGCGUAAAGGGCGCGUAGGUGGCGACCCAAGUCGAUGGUGAAAGCUCGCCGCUCAACGGCGAGUCGGCCACCGAUACUGGGUUGCUGGAGCACUGUAGAGGCUCAUGGAAUUCCGGGUGUAGCGGUGGAAUGCGUAGAGAUCCGGAAGAACACCGGUGGCGAAGGCGGUGAGCUGGGCAGUUGCUGACACUGAGGCGCGGACAGCGUGGGGAGCAAACAGG